AUACAACUUUCAGCAACGGAUCUCUUGGCUCUCGCAUCGAUGAAGAACGCAGCGAAAUGCGAUAAGUAAUGUGAAUUGCAGAAUUCAGUGAAUCAUCGAAUCUUUGAACGCACCUUGCGCUCCUUGGUUAUUCCAAGGAGCACGCCUGUUUGAGUGUUGUGUAACUCUCAACCUGCAAACUUACUUGCAGGCUUGGACUUU
rnacentral:rRNA from 1 species